AGAAGGGAACCCAUAAUUUAAAAUAUUUAUAUAUAAUUUAAUUUCUCAUAAUAAUGAUAUGCUUAACAGUGACAAUGAUGGGACUGCUAUUCGCUAGUUUGCACUUAGGAAAAGGCGGAAUUUUUACUAAAGAUUUUGUGAAUGUUUCCAACACCUCAUCGGAAGAUGUCCACAUUCUAGAUAUAGUUAAGAAACCACUUAUAGAUGAUACCAAUAGGAACAUAUCUCGAAUAUAUCCCUAUAGAUUAGUCAAUGUGGCUAAAUUAAAAAACCAUCCAUCCAUUCUCUAAAACGACCUAAGCAAAUUUAAUGUAUAUUUACUUUAUUAUUCGAUACUAUAUAUGUCAUCUCGAGAUCCUUAUUGGACUUGGGCACUAGGAAUAAUACAUGAUCAGUAAUUAUAAAUAU